GAUGAACGCUGGCGGCAUGCCUAAGACAUGCAAGUCGUACGAAGCGGCCCAUUGAAGAUUGCGUGCUUGCACAAAAUUGGAUUUGGAUUACCGCUUAGUGGCAAACGGGUGAGUAACACGUGGGUUACCUACCUCUAAGUCGGGGAUAACAAUUGGAAACGAUUGGUAAUACCGGAUGUGCUCUACGGAGUAAAGAACCCCUUAAAGGUUCGCUUAGAGAUGGGCCUGCGGCGCAUUAGCUAGUUGGUGAGAUAACGGCCCACCAAGGCGACGAUGCGUAGCCGAACUGAGAGGUUGAUCGGCCACAUUGGGACUGAGACACGGCCCAGACUCCUACGGGAGCAGCAGUGGGGAAUAUUGCACAAUGGGCGAAAGCCUGAUGCAGCAACGCCGCGUGAGGGAAGACGGGCCUUCGGGUU
rnacentral:rRNA from 1 species